GUUCGCUGGUCUCUUCCUGCUCUGCUGCAGCCUUUUUGGCCUCCUCAGGGACGCGCUGCUUCUCAGCAGUCGUACCCAGCACUUGAGGAAGCCUGCACUGACUGUUUUGACUUUGACUCUGUUUGCUACUGGUUUCUGGUAUUGGUACCCUGCUCUCACCUCUCUCCUGAUGGUUGCUGAACCUGCCUGGCCUGGAUACAGCACAUCUACCCUUGGCAUGAACACGGACCCAAGGAUUGUGACGGAUUUCAACGUCUUCCGUAAGGAAGUCCUGGACCGCAUCAACCAAGGAGAGGCCAAAUGGAAGGAAAGCUGGACUAGAGAGCUGGAUGGUGUUAAGGUGUGUGUGUUUGUGUGUAAGAGAGAGAGAAGGUGAAUCUAAAUUG